GCUCUUCAGAGGCGGCAAAUUGCAAGGAGACGCCGCCGCGUUCAUGCUGCCGGCGGACUGCUCGCGCCGGCUGGUGGCCGAGCUGCAGGGCGCCCUGGACGCCUGCGCACAGCGACAAUUGCAAUUGGAGCAGAGCCUGCGCGUUUGCCGUCGGCUGCUGCAGGCCUGGUACGCGGACCCGGGGACCCACUGGCCAGACCUCCCUCGGGCCCUCAGAGUCCUGCCCCGAGCUCUCAGGGCUGGGAGACCGGGUGCAGCCGCCCACUUCGGAGCUGUAGGUUGUUAGUGCCACCCUCCUUACCCUGCAAGCUCUGAGCUGGGGGCCUGCCGCGGGGCCCGGCGGCCCCCUCGGGUCUGUUUGGGCUGGGCCCUGCCUCCUGGCCGUGCGACGGCUGCCCGUGUCUUUGCAGGGAACCAACUGGGACCUGGGCUUUGAAGCCACCUCCAGGGCCAGAAACUAAUGAAGAAGACCCCCUUCCAGGUAAACCUCCACAACCCACCUUCUCCAGGUGCUGCUCUGGCCUGCCUUCUGGCAUGCAGUUGUG
rnacentral:sRNA from 1 species